GUCUACGUCCAUGCCACCCUGAAUGAGCCCGAUCUCAACUGAUCUCGGAAGCUAAGUGGGGUCACGCCUGGUUAGCACUUGGAUGGGAGACCACCUAGGAAGACCAGGGCCUGUAGGCG
rnacentral:rRNA from 1 species